rnacentral:rRNA from 1 species
GACGAACGCUGGCGGCGUGCUUAACACAUGCAAGUCGAACGGAAAGGCCCUGCUUUUGUGGGGUGCUCGAGUGGCGAACGGGUGAGUAACACGUGAGUAACCUGCCCUUGACUUUGGGAUAACUUCAGGAAACUGGGGCUAAUACCGGAUAGGAGCUCCUGCUGCAUGGUGGGGGUUGGAAAGUUUCGGCGGUUGGGGAUGGACUCGCGGCUUAUCAGCUUGUUGGUGGGGUAGUGGCUUACCAAGGCUUUGACGGGUAGCCGGCCUGAGAGGGUGACCGGCCACAUUGGGACUGGGAUACGGCCCAGACUCCUACGGGAGGCAGCAGUGGGGAAUAUUGCACAAUGGGCGGAAGCCCGAUGCAGCAACGCCGCGUGCGGGAUGACGGCCUUCGGGUUGUAAACCGCUUUCGCCUGUGACGAAGCGUGAGUGACGGUAAUGGGUAAAGAAGCACCGGCUAACUACGUG